rnacentral:lncRNA from 1 species
UUUUCAAGACUGUAAAUGUGGUCUGGCUAGAUCAUCUAGGUGAUUGGCUUCUGUUCUCUGCAGGCCUUACUUGUCUGUGGUAUUUGGAUUACAUUUUCUAAGAAACUGCCAUGGGAAGAAAACUGCCCUCUUCCUUCUCUUACUCUUCAAAACCUGGAAGAAGUGUUCUAUUGUUUGUGAAAGUUACAAACGAGAUGCUGGAGGGAAUGAAGACAAGUACUGCCACGUGUGUCCCAUGUGACUUACUUGCGACACUGAACUGUGCUCAGGAUGGAAGGAAUCGCCUGUUUCCUUCUCCAACUGCGUUCAAAUUCAGUGAAGCACCUGCUUUCCCUUCUGCCAAACAAGUGUCUUGCUGGCUCCAUCUGCUGGACCCUGAUGAUGUGAACGAUACGGUGAAGCGUGGCUGGACCAACACGGAAGAAACACGCCUGAAACUGAAGCACUACGUGUGUGUCAUGGAGACAGUGAGAAACGAGAUGGGAACAUCUGUCCCCAGAAUGCAUAACUGUAAAGACUAA